rnacentral:rRNA from 1 species
GAUGAACGCUGGCGGCGUGCCUAAUACAUGCGAGUCGAGCGAACAGACGAGGAGCUUGCUCCUCUGACGUUAGCGGCGGACGGGUGAGUAACACGUGGAUAACCUACCUAUAAGACUGGGAUAACUUCGGGAAACCGGAGCUAAUACCGGAUAACAUGUUGAACCGCAUGGUUCAACAGUGAAAGACGGUCUUGCUGUCACUUAUAGAUGGAUCCGCGCCGCAUUAGCUAGUUGGUAAGGUAACGGCUUACCAAGGCAACGAUGCGUAGCCGACCUGAGAGGGUGAUCGGCCACACUGGAACUGAGACACGGUCCAGACUCCUACGGGAAGCAGCAGUAGGGAAUCUUCCGCAAUGGGCGAAAGCCUGACGGAGCAACGCCGCGUGAGUGAAGAAGGUCUUCGGAUCGUAAAACUCUGUUAUUAGGGAAGAACAAAUGUGUAAGUAACUAUGCACGUCUUGACGGUACCUAAUCAGAAAGCCACGGCUAACUACGUG